rnacentral:rRNA from 1 species
UACGUAGGGUGCAAGCGUUAAUCGGAAUUACUGGGCGUAAAGCGUGCGCAGGCGGUUAUGUAAGACAGGUGUGAAAUCCCCGGGCUAACCUGGGAACUGCAUUUGUGACUGCAUAGCUAGAGUACGGUAGAGGGGGAUGGAAUUCCGCGUGUAGCAGUGAAAUGCGUAGAUAUGCGGAGGAACACCGAUGGCGAAGGCAAUCCCCUGGACCUGUACUGACGGCUCAUGCACG